rnacentral:rRNA from 1 species
GACGCACGCUGGCGGAGUGCUUAACACAUGCAAGUCGAACGAAGUGGCGAACGGGUGAGUAAUACGCGGGUAACCUGCCCUCCUUUUUCGGCUAAGCCUUGGCAACGGGGUCUAAUACCGAAUAAAGGGGGAUGGGCUCGCGGCCUAUCAGCUUGUUGGUGGGGUGAUGGCCUACCAAGGCGGUGACGGGUAGCCGGCCUUAGAGGGUAACCUGCCACAUGGGGAAUGUGGGACGGCCCAGAAUCCUACGGGAGGCAGCAGUGGGGGAUAUUGCACGAUGGGCGAAAGCCUGAUGGAGCUACGCCGCGUGGGGAAUGAAGGCUGUCGGGUUGUAAACCUCUUUCGCUAACAAACGGGUAGGUGGAGAAGAAGCGCCGGCUAACUACGUGCCAGCAGCCGCGGUAAUAC